rnacentral:rRNA from 1 species
UGCGUAGGCGGUUGCGUGUGUCAGAUGUGAAAGCCCGGGGCUCACCCCGGGACUGCAUUUGAAACUGCGUGACUUGAGUAUCGGAGAGGUAUGUGGAAUUCUUAGUGUAGCGGUGAAAUGCGUAGAUAUUAAGAAGAACACCGGCGGCGAAAGCGGCAUACUGGACGAAUACUGACGCUGAGGCACGAAAGCCAGGGGAGCGAAGA